UACGGGGGGGGCAAGCGUUGUUCGGAAUUACUGGGCGUAAAGGGCUCGUAGGCGGCCAACUAAGUCAGACGUGAAAUCCCUCGGCUUAACCGGGGAACUGCGUCUGAUACUGGAUGGCUUGAAUCCGGGAGAGGGAUGCGGAAUUCCAGGUGUAGCGGUGAAAUGCGUAGGUAUCUGGAGGAACACCGGUGGCGAAGGCGGCAUCCUGGACCGGCAUUGACGCUGAGGAGCGAAAGCCAGGGGAGCAAACGGG
rnacentral:rRNA from 1 species